rnacentral:rRNA from 1 species
UUCUUAAUGAAUUUAUAUUAAGUAUUGCCUGCUCAAUGAAUAAUUUAAUAGCCGCGGAAAUUUUACCGUGCUAAGGUAGCAUAAUCAUUAGUCUUUUAAUUAAAGACCUGUAUGAAAGGUAAAACAAUUUAAUUUCUUUAUUAAUUUAUAUAUUUUAACUUGAAUUAAGAAUAAAAAUGUUCUUAUUUAUUAAAAAGACGAUAAGACCCUUUUGAACUUUACUUUAGUUAUGCUGGGGAAGCAAUAAAAUAAAUAUUUUUUAUUUAUUUAUUUUUUAAAUGAUCCAAUACAAUUGAUUAUAUGAACAAGUUACCAUAGGGAUAACAGCGUAAUAAUUUUUUAAAGAUCUUAUUUAAAAAUUUGAUUACGACCUCGAUGUUGAAUUAGUAUUACUCUAUUAAAGCAAAAUUUAUAUAAGUAGGUCUGUUCGACCUUUAAUAUACUACAU